rnacentral:rRNA from 1 species
UACGUAGGCAGCGAGCGUUGUUCGGAGUUACUGGGCGUAAAGAGUGCGUAGGCGGUCCUUUAAGUUCGGUGUGAAAUCUCCCGGCUCAACCGGGAGGGUGCACCGAAAACUGGAGGGCUUGAGUGCGGGAGAGGAGAGCGGAAUUCCUGGUGUAGCGGUGAAAUGCGUAGAUAUCAGGAGGAACACCUGUGGUGCAGACGGCUCUCUGGACCGCAACUGACGCUGAGGCACGAAAGCGUGGGUAGCAAACAGG